GACGAACGCUGGCGGCGUGCUUAACACAUGCAAGUCGAACGGGAGUAUCAAAGAAGCUUGCUUUUAAGAUACUUUAGUGGCGGACGGGUGAGUAACGCGUGAGGAGCUGUCCUAUGCAGGGGGACAACAGUUGGAAACGACUGCUAAUACCCCAUAAGCCGAGAGGUAAAAGGAUUUAUCCGGCAAAGGAGGUACUCGCGUCCUAUCAGCUAGUAGGUGGGGUAACGGCUCACCUAGGCGAAGACGGGUAGCCGGCCUGAGAGGGCGAACGGCCACACUGGAACUGAGAUACGGUCCAGACUCCUACGGGAGGCAGCAGUGGGGAAUAUUGGGCAAUGGGGGAAACCCUGACCCAGCGACGCCGCGUGGGUGAAGAAAUCCGUCGGGAUGUAAAGCCCUGUUGUAUGGGAAGAGCAGAAGACGGUACCAUACGAGGAAGCCCCGGCAAACUACGUGCCAGCAGCCGCCGUAA
rnacentral:rRNA from 1 species